CAAAAUGUAGUUUAAAUAAAACACUUCGCUUACAACGAAAAAACAUCCAAUAAUAAAGGAUCAUUUUGA
rnacentral:tRNA from 1 species